CUACGUAUGUCGCAAGCGUUAUCCGGAAUUAUUGGGCGUCAAGCGAGUCUAGGCGGCUUGUUAAGUCAGAUGUGAAAAUGCGGGGCUCAACUCCGUAUUGCGUUUGAAACUGGCAGGCUAGAGUACUGGAGAGGUGGGCGGAACUACAAGUGUAGAGGUGAAAUUCGUAGAUAUUUGUAGGAAUGCCGAUAGUGAAGACAGCUCACUGGACAGAUACUGACGCUAAAGCUCGAAAGCGUGGGGAGCGAACAGGAUUAGAAACCCCAGUAGUCC
rnacentral:rRNA from 1 species